rnacentral:rRNA from 1 species
CGAUGCCUGCUUGCUGUUUCGAGUAUCGACCCUCGGAGCGGCGGAGCUAACGCGUUAAGCAGGCCGCCUGGGAAGUACGGCCGCAAGGCUAAAACUCAAAGGAAUAGACGGGGACUCGCACAAGCGGUGGAACAUGAGGUUUAAUUCGACAGUAAGCGAGGAACCUUACCAGGGCUUGAAAUUCUGGAUGACAGGUUGCCGAAAGGCGACCCUUCUCUCAAGGACAUCCAGUACAGGUGCUGCAUGGUUGUCGUCAGCUCGUGCUUUGAAGUGUUCCCUUAAGUGGGGUAACGAGCGCAACCCCUGCUCCGUGUUACAAGUGUCACGGAGGACUGCCCAGCCCUUUGCGCACAAGCGCAAAGAAAUUAAAAUUCCAAUUAUCAAAUUUCCAAACGUUUGGAAAUUGAAAUUUUGGAAAUUAUAAUUUACUUUGUUCGCUUGCGAACAAGGGGCUGGGAGGAAGGAGGGGAUGACGUCAAAUCCGCAUGGCCCUCUGAUGCCCUGGGCGACACUCGUGUUACAAUGGCCAAGACAAUGGGUUGCCAACCCGUAAGGGGGAGCUAAUCCCAUCAAACUUGGUCUCAGUUCGGACUGAGGGCUGCAACUCGCCCUCACGAAGCUGGAAUCGCUAGUAAUCGCAAAUCAGCCACGUUGCGGUGAAUACGUUCUCGAGUCCUGUACUCACUGCCCGUCAUUGCAAGGAAGCCGGGAAAGGAUGAAGAUCGCCUCGUGCGAUUCAGUUCUAGCUCGGUGACACGGCAAAAGUCGUAACAAGGCACGCGUAGCGGAAGCUGUGCGUGGAUCAAUUAAACU